UGAUUCUGAGGCCUCCCAGCCACGUCGAACUGGCCUAAAAUAGCAACCUGAAAUAUACUGGAUACACAAAAAAACUGUGUUUUAUGGAAUCUAAGAAGCCAUCGGUUACAGAAGAAGGAGAUGCCAGUGACAAGCAAAGUAACUCCCCCACGGCAUGGGAAGAGCCAGCAUCUGCUGCUGUCCAGGAAUACAGUCUCACUGCUGCAGUCAAGGAAGGCCAAAGAAGCCACCGGGGAAAACCAACCCAUCCCGGGGACACUGGAGGCUCACUCCUUCCUCGCUGCAUUCUGAGGCUGCUGCUUUGGAGUGAGAGAUUAUCCUCUGCUUCUCCUGAAAGAGAAGGUGAUAUGCCCAGGACCCUUCCUGAGUAAGAUGUGUUCCUCAGAGGUUAAAAAAGAAAAAAAAGCCCCAAACCCCUGAAACCAAGAAAUCAAGACAGCUCUGGUGGAGAAGCUUUUGGGAACUUGCUGGGGCAGGCUCCAAUCAGCUUAAAGUCCUUGCAAAGAAAGAAAUUGUGCCCUGUCUCUCAGCGUCGACCAUAGCAGAGAGCCUGGGACAUGAAUGGGUGUCAUUAUUUAUCUGCUGAACAAAUAGAAAAACAUUGUCACUGGAAAGACUGAAACUAACAUGAGUGGAAAAGAAUUGAAGCUCAAGAAGCAAAUUAUCUGGAUUUUACAGAGGAAGGAGGACAUUGAAGAUUAGAGGUUGCAUAGCCUGACCAUGUUUACAUCUAGGCAACUUGUCAAGACAUCCUGCAGGGAAGUGUGUUCAAAGAAGGUCAGCCAGGGAAUGGAACUGCAUGAGGUGAUGCUGUGGUAUAUAAUUGACUUCCUGUUUCUCUGGAAAGUGA
rnacentral:lncRNA from 1 species